GAUGAACGCUGGCGGCGUGCCUAAUACAUGCAAGUCGAGCGAACAGACGAGGAGCUUGCUCCUCUGACGUUAGCGGCGGACGGGUGAGUAACACGUGGAUAACCUACCUAUAAGACUGGGAUAACUUCGGGAAACCGGAGCUAAUACCGGAUAAUAUAUUGAACCGCAUGGUUCAAUAGUGAAAGACGGUUUUGCGGUCACUUAUAGAUGGAUCCGCGCCGCAUUAGCUAGUUGGUAAGGUAACGGCUUACCAAGGCAACGAUGCGUAGCCGACCUGAGAGGGGGAUCGGCCACACUGGAACUUAGCCACGGUCCAGACUCCUACGGGAGGCAGCAGUAGGGAAUCUUCCGCAAUGGGCGAAAGCCUGACGGAGCAACGCCGCGUGAGUGAUGAAGGUCUUCGGAUCGUAAAACUCUGUUAUUAGGGAAGAACAAAUGUGUAAGUAACUAUGCACGUCUUGACGGUACCUAAUCAGAAAGCCCCGGCUAACUACGUG
rnacentral:rRNA from 1 species